GUUAACUGGUGACUGUGCUCAGUGUUAGUCAGACUUAGCUGCUGAAGUAUUUAUAUGUUUUCCUUAAGUAGGAGUGUAUAUCUUCCUGAGCAGAGGAUGGAGUCAGAAGCAAUCCAUCACACAGAUACUAAAGCCGAAAUAAGGAUAAAUCAUUGCACUUCUAAUGAUAGAAUAUCUCCGCUCCACCUCCAAAGACAUAGUCAAGGCCAUGAGAAGAAUACGGAAGUUGACUCAGAGGGCUCCAAAUCCUGCUGUUAUGGCAAAGAAAGAUUCCUACCACUUUGUUACAGCCUGCUUAUGAAAUGUUCUGUCUGCUUUCAAGAAGAAUAUUGUUUACUUUCACUUCCCCAGGAAACACACCUGCUAGAAUGUUAAAGUUUAACAACAGAUGGACUGGAUGAUAUGCGCCUCUUCUUUCUUGAGGACUCAUACAUAUAUUAGUAAAUAUUAAUGCAUUUGAUUAAGAAGCAAGACAGAGUUAUACAGUCCUGCUAGUGAACAUUCAUACUCCGUAAAUCUAUGAGGAAUAAAAUCUACAGCUCUUACAUUAAUGAAAUAUCUGGAAUGGGCAGUUUCCUAAGUAACUGCUGGGUGUGAAGUCAACUACAGACAAGUGGUGGUCCUGACAUUCUGAGAGCCCUGUCCUAUGCAACAACACCAUUAUUCUCUUGGGUUGGCUAUGUUCUAAAAACAGCGGGCAUGCAAUAGAUUACAUGAGCACAUCCAGGAGCUAUACAUCCUUCAGGCUAAACAAUGAGAGCUGUCUGUCACCACAAAACCACUAAACCAGAUGAUGUAGAGAAAAUGACAAUGCAGAAAAUUUAUUUGACAGCCUGAUAUGAAUGGCAGGAUGCAAUAAUGCUAAGCUGACACUUGUUCAAGGGACCUGGAUUUUCCCUAUGCGCAAAGCAGAGAAAUAAUUUGUACUAAUUACAUUUGCUCAAAUUACAAGACUGAUGGAGCAAAUUAUUCUGACUUGGAUAAAGGUGACAUUUUUGUCAUGCGUAACUAGAGCAGCAGGGAGGUGUUUGCUAAUGUGUCAAGCUCUGAUGAACCAUCUGGAGUAUUAGUGAG